rnacentral:rRNA from 1 species
GCAUAUCAAUAAGCGGAGGAAAAGAAACCAACAGGGAUUGCCCCAGUAACGGCGAGUGAAGCGGCAACAGCUCAAAUUUGAAAUCUGGCCUCGGCCCGAGUUGUAAUUUGCAGAGGAUGCUUCUGGCGCGGCGCCUUCCGAGUUCCCUGGAACGGGACGCCACAGAGGGUGAGAGCCCCGUAUGGUCGGACGCCAAGCCAGUGUGAAGCUCCUUCGAAGAGUCGAGUAGUUUGGGAAUGCUGCUCUAAGCGGGAGGUAUACGUCUUCUAAAGCUAAAUACCGGCCAGAGACCGAUAGCGCACAAGUAGAGUGAUCGAAAGAUGAAAAGCACCUUGAAAAGGGGGUUAAACAGUACGUGAAAUUGUUGAAAGGGAAGCGCCUGUGACCAGACUUGCGCCGGGCGGAUCAUCCAGCGUUCUCGCUGGUGCGCUCCGCCCGGCUCAGGCCAGCAUCGGUUCUGGCGGGGGGAUAAAGGCGGCGGGAACGUGGCUCCCCCGGGAGUGUUAUAGCCCGCCGUGCAAUGCCCCCGCUGGGACCGAGGUUCGCGCUCUGCAAGGAUGCUGGCGUAAUGGUCACCAGCGACCCGUCUUGAAACACGGACC